GAAAACUAGCUCCUAAUAGAAGGUUAUAUUACACGUACAUGAACAACAGCAGAGCGGCCGCUCUUUUCUGAGCCAAUUGGUGGACGCCUCUCUGCCUAGCCACAUCCUCAUCUGCCUCAGGGUCACUCAGGCGACGCGAACAGAUGUUAACUCAUUCCAUACACAGCAAAAUGGUAAACACAGCUGUUUACUCUCAACACUCCAUUCGGCCGGUGUGCUUUCAAUUUUAAACACGCUGACCUCGCCAGUUGCUAAACAUCGCCUUUCUUCCCGGUCUACCUCGCAGGAGAUCCGGGAGCCCGGAGCAGAGGGGCGCUGGUGCGUGUCUGGGAGGAGCUGCCCGGCCCCAGGGCGAACGGGCUCCACACUCAGGCAGCUGCACACAAACAGCUUUUUCUGCAUCGCCCCGCGGCGCCACAGUCACCCCCCUGUCGACCGCCUGAGCGCACGUCCUCGACCUGCGAGCCAGCCCGUGUAGGAACUCGGUUUGAAAAUUCCCAAGUAGGAAGAACAGAAACUGUCAUUUUGCUCCAAGGGUAGUAUUCUGAGCCUGAACUACAGUGCCAACAAGCACGGGCUUGUUACCCAGCCACAGUUUAAGGGAGAAACCAAUAAGUUUAAAGAAAAGUUAACUCAUCGUAUUACCAGUUCUUGGACCCCAAGCAUACCAACCAUGGACCUCUUGCAAGUCCUAGGACUGGGUAAGAAGCUCUGCUCUGGGACCUGGCUCUCCAGACCAGCCUCCCACCGUGCCACCAAAUCUAAUGCUGUCAUCCUUCUGCUCAAAAAGUCUUCACUGGGGCCCUGACUGGUUUGGCCCCAUGGAUAGAGCAUCGGCCUGCGGACUCAAGGGUCCCAGGUUCAAUUCCGGUCAAGGGCACGUACCUUGGUUGCAGGCACAUCCCC